CCUACGGGAGGCAGCAGUGAGGAAUAUUGGUCAAUGGACGAGAGUCUGAACCAGCCAAGUAGCGUGAAGGAUGACUGCCCUAUGGGUUGUAAACUUCUUUUAUAUGGGAAUAAAAUGUUCCACGUGUGGGAUUUUGUAUGUACCAUAUGAAUAAGGAUCGGCUAACUCCGUGCCAGCAGCCGCGGUAAUACGGAGGAUCCUAGCGUUAUCCGGAUUUAUUGGGUUUAAAGGGAGCGUAGGUGGAUUGAUAAGUCAGUUGUGAAAGUUUUGGGCUAAACCGAAGAAUUGCAGUUGAUACUGGCGAUCUUGAGUACAGUAGAGGUAGGCGGAAUGCGUGGUGUAGCGGUGAAAUGCUUAGAGAUCAUGAAGAACUCCGAUUGCGAAGGCAGCUCACUGGACUGCAACUGACGCUGAGGCACGAAAGUGUGGGGAUCAAACAGGAUUAGAUACCCCGGUAGUC
rnacentral:rRNA from 1 species